rnacentral:rRNA from 1 species
GAUGAACGCUGGCGGCGUGCCUAAUACAUGCAAGUCGAGCGAACAGACGAGGAGCUUGCUCCUCUGACGUUAGCGGCGGACGGGUGAGUAACACGUGGAUAACCUACCUAUAAGACUGGGAUAACUUCGGGAAACCGGAGCUAAUACCGGAUAAUAUAUUGAACCGCAUGGUUCAAUAGUGAAAGACGGUUUUGCUGUCACUUAUAGAUGGAUCCGCGCCGCAUUAGCUAGUUGGUAAGGUAACGGCUUACCAAGGCAACGAUGCGUAGCCGACCUGAGAGGGUGAUCGGCCACACUAGAACUGAGACACGGUCCAGACUCCUACGGGAGGCAGCAGUAGGGAAUCUUCCGCAAUGGGCGAAAGCCUGACGGAGCAACGCCGCGUGAGUGAUGAAGGUCUUCGGAUCGUAAAACUCUGUUACUAGGGAAGAACAAAUGUGUAAGUAACUAUGCACGUCUUGACGGUACCUAAUCAGAAAGCCACGGCUAACUACGUG